AUUUGAACGUAAAAACAUUAAAAAAGUUACGAACGUAAGACAUUCAAUAAUACGAAGAUAUCAUUGAUAAUAAAAAAUUUAGGAGUACUAUUGAUAAAGUACUAAAACUCAAGGGUACCAUUGAUAAUUUUGUAUUUAUUUAUAAAUAAUAGUGAUGAUCUUCUUCACUAAUUACCUAAAACAAUAACAAACACUCUGGUCCAGAUAUCCACUCAUUCUUCCUUACUUUUUUUUUUAUUAAUUAGUUCACACUAGCUUGCUCAUCUUUAUGAAAAAUCCUUGGCUGAUUUUGCAAUCUCAGCUGCUGGAAGACUCAUUGAACUGGUCGGAAACGAGAUCAUCGAACAGAUUUGCGAAAUGUGGGGUUAUGAAUCCGAGCUUGAAGAUCUGAAGGAAACUGUCUCCACCAUCAAAAACGUGCUUCUAGAUGUUGAUCACGAGACGGUCAGGCGGGAGCUAACCAACCAAGAACGAGACUACAUCCAGAAGCUAACGGAUGCUGUGUACGAUGCUGACGAUCUAUUCGAUGAGUUCGUCACUCUUGCUGAGCUCAAGCAGAUUAAGACUCUGAGCACGGUUCAAAAGUUCUUUGCAAAGAAUGAUGAUGAUGAUGAACAAGAACACAGUAGAAGAAUAGUAGGGGGUUUAUGAAAAUUCGAAGUUUGAAGUUUGAUGAUGAACAAGAACAGCAGCAAGGAUUUACCUUCAUAAACCGUUUGUGAAGAUGAACAGCAACAAGAAUGAUGAACAGCAGCAAAUGACCGUUUGUGAAAAUGAAGAUGAACACAAGAAGCGAACACAAAUCUUGAUGCUUAAUCUUAUACGUUUGUGAAGAUCAGAUGAAGAUGAGGAACGAAGCAAAUGAAGAUGAAGAUGAAGUGUUUUUUCAAUGAGGAACAAAGCAAAGUAUACUGUAUAAUACGUAUUUGAGAAGGGAUUUGUGGAAAAAGAAACUGGCGGGUUUUUAAGAAAAUUUUGUCCAACGGUCAUUUGCUGCAGUUCACAACAAAACCGGAGCAAUCACAAAAUUUGUGAAGGGUAUUUGCUGCGGUUCAUGCAAAACCGGAGCAAUUAAAAUUUUCGUGAAGAGUUAUUUGCUGCGGGUCAGCCAAAACCGGAGCAAUUAAUAUAUUUUUGAAGCGUUAUUUGCUGCGGUUCAUGAAAAACCGGAGUAAUAAAUGUAGUGUGAAGGGUUAUUUGCUGCAGUCAACUGGAAAACCGCAGCAAUUAAUAUAUAUAUUUUUUUCUGAUCCAUUUUCCUAUUUUUUGCUCCCAAUACACAAAAACCGUAGCAAAUGAUGAGCAUCAAAUACAUUUUUUUCCACUAGUGUCUCAAUAUACGCUCAGUAGUUGAUCUAUCUAAGGCCAUAAUUGAUACUUUUAAUGUCAAAAUUGAUUUUUUUAAGUUAAAACUGAUUGUAAUUGAUUAUUUUAAGGUUUAAAUUGAUCAUUUUUAGAUCAAAAUUGAAUUUUUUUAUUAAUAAAGCAAUCAUAACUCUUGAUCAUUUCCAAGAGCAUUCAUUGAAUCAAUUGACAAACAUAACUCAGAUCGACACUUCCUCCGCCUUCACAUCUAGUUUAAGCAAAUACUAAAACUACAACUACAAUUCCAAGACCACUAUGAUAGAAACUAUUGGGGGAAGAGUAAUACCAUUAUUGAUCGAUGAUUAAAGAGUACACGUACUCGUAUGUUCCAUAUGUAGCAGGAGCGGCACUCUCGAUACAUAAUUAACAUUAAUAAUUAUACUUAAGAUAAAUAAUGCGGAAGUGUAAAACGCCGAACUGCUAAAAACCAUUUAAACUAAAAUUGUUCAAAACAUAAGUAAAAAAAAAAUAUCUUACAACUAAGAAAAUAUAAAAUAAGGUUUACUUAAAUACGAUAAAAAAAACAUAAGUACAAUAUAGUCAUCAAGUAAAAUCAUUGAAGCUAAGUCCUCGAUAAAAUAAUUAAAGUUGCGGCCUGGAUCGAAACCUGAGCUAAUUUUUCCUGCAAAAUACUGUCAUCCAUAAUACGGAUGACAGCCGAUUAAAUCGGUCAGCGAUAAAGCCGAGUACAAUUUACUCAACAAGCUUAUGAUGCGAUAGUUAUCUUACAAAAUAAUCAUCAAGCACAAUAUAGAAGGUUAUUACUCAUUAUUGACCUUUACUAAGCCAUUAAGUUACAUUCUCAAUACUUGCAGAAGUUCAUUACUGCUACUAAAUACUUGGUAACCUUAAUGCUUAUUUAAUCAAGUUCAAUUAAACCUCAUAGCUUUACCAUCAUAGCACAUCACAAGAUCACAACAAUAAUGACAACUGAUAUAUGUAAGGGUCUGGUUAGGUGAGGACCGUAGUCCUAAACCCUAACUGUGGUGGGAGUCGUCACUCCUCUCAAUACUGUUAUGCUCGAGACUUCACAGGAUGGGUUUUUCUCGGACCCCCUGUCUGACACUGCAUUUUACGUGCCGGCUAACACGGACGCCGGGAUUUUACAUGCCGGUCCAUGGUUCGACGUUACCUUACUAUCAGAGUCAUGCAAUCAAUAUCAUGCAAUAUCAAACAAGACUCUAAACCGAAAUAGUUUACAUUCUUAUAAGUCAAACUUCCACUAGUCAAAUUUUUGACAAUUCUACCCUUUUAGUAGAAACAAAUUACUAGUAUCUAAUAAAUUAAUAUUUAAUUAAAUAACAAAUUUUCGUAGCUAUACUAAGAUUCCUGAGGCUAAACUAAGUCAUUAUUGUGUCAUAAAUAAUCAUAACAGUCAAGGGUAAUAUUUCUAAGUACUUAAUAACAUAUUUUAUCAAAUAACCAGUAAAAUAGUAAAACGGAUCUAUCAUCACUAUAAAAAUAACAUAAUCCGACAAAUUAUUAAGGGUCCAAAAUCUAUAUGAAAUGAGUUUUCAAGAAAAACAAUGCUAAGCAUUUUAACAAAUUUGUUUGACUAUUUUACCGAUAAACCGAUUAAUAAUUCUUUAUAAUUACUUGAGUCCAACAAAAAAAAAAUAUCAAAACACCAAGAUGAUAUGAAAUCAUUUUAAACACAUAAGUUUAUUUAACUAGUAAAAUUCAUAUAUAUCUAUAUUAUCAUAUUAAUCAAAAAUUUCCAUAUAUAUGACUUUUUUUUUGAGUGUCCCAAAAGUAUUAUUGUUUUGACGAAAAUAUCACUAAACUGGAUAUAACUUUAAUAUUACCAUGUAAAGUUUAAAUGACUAAAAUAAAAUCAUAUUGAUCAUGCUUUUAUAUUAUCGAGUAACAAUAAAUAAAUAUCACAUAACGAGAGAGUUAAGAAAAUGUGUACCAUUUUCCUCCGAAGGUGGUGCUAAACCAAGUAAGAGAAUAAUAAUAGGAAAAAUAAGAACUUAAAGAAAUAAGCUCCAAAAGAGAAAGUCUUCAAGGUUCCAAGCUUCAAAGAAGUAGAUCUUCAAUUACCCAAAAGAAAAUGAUAUCCAAGCUCCAAAAGAUAAUACUUGAUUUUUUAAAAGUUGAUGAUUAUUGGUUAAAGAAGUGAUAAGAUCAAGCUCCAUCUUCAUUUGAUUAUUCAACAAAUAAAAAGGGUAUAAAGUUAGUAAGAUGUUAAUGAAGUGAAGAUAUAAGAAAGAAUGGUAGAAAGAUUUGAUGAUGGGGGUGCAAGUGAUCUCAUGGCUAAGGAGGGGUAUUUAUAAUGGGUUUUGGGCAACUUUUUAGUUCAUAAGAUUGUAUGAAAAAGAAGGUUAACUUGUGUAAGUGAUUUAGAGUGUGUAAGUGAAUGUGUAAGAGUUGGAGUGUGUAAGUGGAUGUGUAAGAGUUGGAGUGUGUAAGUGAAUGUGUAAGAAUUUGGAGUGUAGAAGAAGGUUAACUUGUGUAAGGAAAUGGUGAUAGCUUGUGUAAGUGAUGAACAUUAUGGAUUGAUGUAGAAAGGAUUUUGAUUCAUCAAAUUUUUGUUCUAGUUUAUAGUGAAAAGUUUUAGAUUAAUGGGAAAGUAUGAUUAAGGUUUGAUUAUGAAAAUAUGAUAGCUUACUUAGAAAAUUUUAGUUAAAACUAUACUUAAAGUUAAUAAGAAAAAAUAUAGUAAAUUUUUAGGUAUAAAAUAAUUAAAUCAAAGUUGUAAAGUUAAAAUGAUAAGUAGUAAAGUUAGUUUAAGGAAACGAAAUUGAAACGUAACGUUUUAAUAAAACCUUAAAUAUAAUAUUAAAAUUUUACUUUUCGUAGUAUAAAAUAAUAAAAUAAUAUUUUAGUGCUUAUAAAGAAAUUUAAGAAUAUAUAUAUAUUUUUAAGUUUAUUUGGAAGAAAUUACAAAAAUCGGAAUAAGGUUUAGGAAUUAAAAGUGAUUUGAAUUAGAUAACCAAAGGAUUAGGAAUUCGAAAAGAAAUUUUGGAAUAAUUAAUCGGAAGAUUAAGAUUAAGAAAUUUGAGCCUGUUACACCAUAUAUCCAUUAGAACUAUCAUGUUGCUUCGAAUAAGAGUACUUGUAAUGUGCAAUGUUUUAACACUAUUAUUGAUAGUAUUAUUGAUCAUUUACUUAUUGUUUGAAAUUCAUCUAUAGAAUAAUACCAUUUUAUUACCUUUGUUCUAAAAUUUUGAAAAAAGAAUUAUAUUUAGGUAGAAAUUGAUCAGUUUAACGUUAAAAUUGAUCACUUUUAUUCAUCCAUAGAAUAAUACUAUUUAAAGUUUACUUUUAGUUGAAAUUGAUACCUUUAAGGUUUAAAAAAUGAAUUUUUAUUCUUUAAUAUGAAAAACGCCGACCAUUUUUUUUUUCAAUUUUGGCUUUUGAGUCAGGCAAUACAGACGAUCUCAAUAUCAGACCGACUCUCCCAACUUUUUGUGAAAAUGUGAAACAAAUAAGCAAAAUUAACAAAAAAAAAUAUGAGCUUCGGAUAAAUUCAAUUUUAAAAAUAAACGUUUCUAUGUCCAAGGCUAAGGUUAAGUUAGUUCGCAGUUACUAAUAGCGAACAAAAAAAUUGACCAAAAAAAGUCAAAAUUGUUUGUUCACAGUUAAUAAAUGCGAAUAAAAGGGAGACAAUGUCAUAACAAUAGGAGCAACAAAAAAAUU